GACGAACGCUGGCGGCGUGCUUAACACAUGCAAGUCGAACGAAGUGGCGAACGGGUGAGUAACGCGUAAUCAACCUGCCCUUCAGAGGGGUAAAACAGUGGGAAACGACUGCUAAUACCGCAUACUGAAGGAGGGGAUUGCGGCUGAUUAGCUAGUUGGAGGGGUAACGGCCCACCAAGGCGAUGAUCAGUGGCCGGGCUGAGAGGAUGAACGGCCACAUUGGGACUGAGACACGGCCCAGACUCCUACGGGAGGCAGCAGUGGGGAAUCUUCCGCAAUGGACGAAAGUCUGACGGAGCAACGCCGCGGGAGUGAUGACGGCCUUCGGGUUGUAAAGCUCUGUUAAUCGGGACGCGGUACCGGAAUAGAAAGCCACGGCUAACUACGUGCCAGCAGCCGCGGUAAUUC
rnacentral:rRNA from 1 species